GAUGAACGCUGGCGGCGUGCUUAACACAUGCAAGUCGAACGAAGCACUUUAUUUGAUUUCCUUCGGGACUGAUUAUUUUGUGACUGAGUGGCGGACGGGUGAGUAACGCGUGGGUAACCUGCCUUGUACAGGGGGAUAACAGUUGGAAACGGCUGCUAAUACCGCAUAAGCGCCCAGCAUCGCAUGAUGCAGUGUGAAAAACUCCGGUGGUAUAAGAUGGACCCGCGUUGGAUUAGCUAGUUGGUGAGGUAACGGCCCACCAAGGCGACGAUCCAUAGCCGAGCAGAGAGGGUGACCGGCCACAUUGGGACUGAGACACGGCCCAAACUCCUACGGGAGGCAGCAGUGGGGAAUAGUGCACAAUGGGCGAAAGCCUGAUGCAGCGACGCCGCGUGAGCGAAGAAGUAUUUCGGUAUGUAAAGCUCUAUCAGCAGGGAAGAUAAUGACGGUACCUGACUAAGAAGCACCGGCUAAAUACGUG
rnacentral:rRNA from 1 species